rnacentral:tRNA from 1 species
GCAUAGUUAGCUUGGAAGGUAGAGCAUCUGUCUUAUAAGCACUAGGUCGCGGGUUCGAUUCCCGAACGCU